rnacentral:rRNA from 1 species
UACGUAGGGGGCAAGCGUUGUCCGGAAUCAUUGGGCGUAAAGCGCGUGUAGGCGGCUCGGUAAGUCCGCUCUGAAAGCCCGGGGCUCAACCCCGGGAGGCGGGUGGAUACUGCCGGGCUAGAGUCCGGAAGAGGCGAGUGGAAUUCCUGGUGUAGCGGUGAAAUGCGCAGAUAUCAGGAGGAACACCAAUUGCGAAGGCAGCUCGCUGGGACGGUACUGACGCUGAGACGCGAAAGCGUGGGGAGCGAACAGG